rnacentral:misc_RNA from 1 species
UUUAAACAAAAUGAGUGCACUUCAUUGUGGCUCGAUUUAUUUUUUUUUAUUUCACCCUAAUGCUUGGUUGUGUGGCAAAAUUUUGUCAUUGCAAUCAGGUAAAAGUAACACUUUUGUUACAUUAUCCCCCCACCUAUUUAUUUUUUUUGUUUUUGAUAAACACAAUUUUAAUCAAUUUGCAUGUAUAAGUUUUUGAAUUAAGAAUAA